GGAUGCGAUCAUACCAGCACUAAAGCACCGGAUCCCAUCAAAACUCCGAAGUUAAGCGUGCUUGGGCGAGAGUAGUACUAGGAUGGGUGACCUCUUGGGAAGUCCUCAUGUUGCAUUCC
rnacentral:rRNA from 2 species